rnacentral:rRNA from 1 species
UACGUAGGGGGCAAGCGUUGUCCGGAAUUAUUGGGCGUAAAGCGCGCGCAGGCGGCUGUUUAAGUCUGGUGUUUAAUCCUGGGGCUCAACUCCGGGUCGCACUGGAAACUGGGCAGCUUGAGUGCAGAAGAGGAGAGUGGAAUUCCACGUGUAGCGGUGAAAUGCGUAGAGAUGUGGAGGAACACCAGUGGCGAAGGCGACUCUCUGGGCUGUAACUGACGCUGAGGCGCGAAAGCGUGGGGAGCAAACAGG